UGAUGCGAUCAUACCAGCACUAAAGCACCGGAUCCCAUCAGAACUCUGAAGGAAGUCCUUGUGUUGCAUUCC
rnacentral:rRNA from 1 species